rnacentral:tRNA from 1 species
ACUUAUAUAGUUUAUAUAAAACCCUUCAUUUUCAAUGAAAAAAUAGAUCUAUUCUUAUAAGUU